rnacentral:ncRNA from 2 species
AGCUUAUCAAGAGAGGUGGAGGGACUGGCCCUGAGAAACCCAGCAACCAGCAGUUAUACUGCCCGGUGCUAACUCCAGCAGGUUUAACCUGAAAGAUAAGCA